UGUCUCAUGGUGUAAUGGUAGCACAACAGUUUUUGGUUCUGUUUGUCUAGGUUCGAAUCCUGGUGAGACAACAA
rnacentral:tRNA from 1 species